AGAUAAUAUAUAGGGAACCCAA
rnacentral:snRNA from 1 species